rnacentral:rRNA from 1 species
GGCGGCGUNCCUAACACAUGCAAGUCGGACGCGAAAGCUCCUUCGGGAGUGAGUAGAGUGGCGCACGGGUGAGUAACGCGUAGGUAAUCUACCUCUGGAUUGGGGAUAACUCUGCGAAAGCGGAGCUAAUACCGAAUGGUCUGGCUUUAUUUUGAUGAAGUCGGUAAAGGAUGCCUCUGCAUAUGCAUCUGUCCGGAGAUGAGCCUGCGUCCCAUUAGCUAGUUGGUAGGGUAAAGGCCUACCAAGGCGACGAUGGGUAGCUGGUCUGAGAGGAUGAUCAGCCACACUGGAACUGGAACACGGUCCAGACUCCUACGGGAGGCAGCAGUGGGGAAUAUUGGGCAAUGGGCGCAAGCCUGACCCAGCAACGCCGUGUGAGGGAUGAAGGCCUUCGGGUCGUAAACCUCUGUCAGAAGGGAAGAACGGGCACAGUUCGAAUAGGGCUGUGUUUUGACGGUACCUUCAGAGGAAGCACCGGCUAACUCCGUGCCAGCAGCCGCGGUAAUACGGAGGGUGCGAGCGUUAUUCGGAAUCACUGGGCGUAAAGGGCGCGUAGGCGGCCUGGUAAGUCAGGGGUGAAAUCCCACGGCUCAACCGUGGAAUUGCCUUUGAAACUGCUGGGCUUGGAUCCUGGAGAGGGUGGCGGAAUUCCUGGUGUAGGAGUGAAAUCCGUAGAUAUCAGGAGGAACACCGGUGGCGAAGGCGGCCGCCUGGACAGGUAUCGACGCUGAGGCGCGAAAGUGUGGGGAGCAAACAGGAUUAGAUACCCUGGUAGUCCACACCGUAAACGAUGGAUACUAGGUGUUGGGGGCAUGACCCUCAGUGCCGGANCUAACGCGUUAAGUAUCCCGCCUGGGGAGUA